GGUGACCCUGGAUUUGGCAGAACGACGUGAAAUCCGCUCAGCGAUUCGAGAGCUGCGACGGAAGGAGCUGGAGAGAUGUGAGGAGGCUCUGGCUUCCAAGCGAUUUAGAUCAGAAAGGAGCAACGAGCAAGAGAAUAAAGAGAACCAACCUGGUGAUAAGAGAGAAGAACAGCAGAAAGCUUUACACAUUUUAGAGGCAAGGCUGCAAGAUAUCAGUGAUGUGGAGGAGCUCACCACACUGCUUCGAGGUGCCAGUGAGUAUGAGGAAAGGAAGCUGAUCCGAGCUGCAAUCCGAAAAAUUCGAAAUGAUGAGAUUGAGG